GCGAAGUGGAUUAUUUAAAUCUCUUCAUGUCUGGGUUCAGGUAUGAGCAUCGGAAAGUUGCAUGCACCAGCCUUAUACAGGAGACUAAACCAUGCUAUGUAGAUCUGAGCUACUUUUAUUGGAACAGCUAUAAUAACAGAAUCUUCCUUCCUCUCUAUGCUGAUCUUGGGUUAUUCUUUGGUUUUCUGAAGAGCUCUAAGAGAUGAUAUGCCAGAUGUGACACCUCUAGAUCAUAGGAGAAAGACAAAGGGUGAAUCUGACCAAACACAAAAUCAUUUAAACACAACACUGGAAGAUGAUUAUUACAUUCGGGGUCUGCUUGUGAACUGAUGCAACCGAUAG